rnacentral:rRNA from 1 species
AUUGAACGCUGGCGGCAGGCCUAACACAUGCAAGUCGAGCGAGCGGCGGACGGGUGAGUAAUGUAUGGGGACUGCCCGAUAGAGGGGGAAAACAACGGGAAAGGGUAGCUAAAACGGCAUACUAUGGGAGAACCCAUAUGGGAUUAGCUAGUAGGUGAGGUAAGGGCUCACCUAGGCGACGAUCCCUAGCUGGUCUGAGAGGAUGAUCAGCCACACUGGGACUGAGACACGGCCCAGACUCCUACGGAGGCAGCAGUGGGGAAUAUUGCACAAUGGGCGCAAGCCUGAUGCAGCCAUGCCGCGUGUAUGAAGAAGGCCCUAGGGUUGUAAAGUACUUUCAGUCGGGAGGCGUUACCGACAGAAGAAGCACCGGCUAACUCCGUGCCAGCAGCCGCGGUAAUAC